GGGGAUGAAACAGGAUAGACAGACGCAAUAAAGGGGAUUGCCGUUGCUCGGUGGGAAUUCCAGCCGUACAAGUGGGUCAUUUUUAUAAGUGCAAACGAUGAUUUCGUUGCCGCUAACGACAACAUGGAAACAGCUUUCGUAGCUGCUGCCUAGUUUUUGUCUUUAGCGCGGUUUUGGGGGCUUACCGGGCAACAGAAAAGUCCCCGCA
rnacentral:tmRNA from 1 species